rnacentral:rRNA from 1 species
GACGAACGCUGGCGGCGUGCUUAACACAUGCAAGUCGAACGGAAAGGCCCUGCUUUUGUGGGGUGCUCGAGUGGCGAACGGGUGAGUAACACGUGAGUAACCUGCCCUUGACUUUGGGAUAACUUCAGGAAACUGGGGCUAAUACAGGAUAGGAGCUUCUGCUGCAUGGUGGGGGUUGGAAAGUUUCGGCGGUUGGGGAUGGACUCGCGGCUUAUCAGCUUGUUGGUGGGGUAGUGGCUUACCAAGGCUUUGAAGGGUAGCCGGCCUGAGAGGGUGACCGGCCACAUUGGGACUGAGAUACGGCCCAGACUCCUACGGGAGGCAGCAGUGGGGAAUAUUGCACAGUGGGCGGAAGCCUGAUGCAGCAACGCCGCGUGCGGGAUGACGGCCUUCGGGUUGUAAACCGCUUUCGCCUGUGACGAAGCGUGAGUGACGGUAAUGGGUAAAGAAGCACCGGCUAACUACGUG